rnacentral:rRNA from 1 species
GAUGAACGCUGGCGGCGUGCCUAAUACAUGCAAGUCGAGCGAACGGACGAGAAGCUUGCUUCUCUGAUGUUAGCGGCGGACGGGUGAGUAACACGUGGAUAACCUGCCUAUAAGACUGGGAUAACUUCGUGAAACCGGUGCUAAUACCGGAUGAUAUUUUGAACCGCAUGGUUCAAAAGUGAAAGACGGUCUUGCUGUCACUUAUAGAUGGAUCCGCGCUGCAUUAGCUAGUUGGUAAGGUAACGGCUUACCAAGGCAACGAUGCAUAGCCGACCUGAGAGGGUGAUCGGCCACACUGGAACUGAGACACGGUCCAGACUCCUACGGGAGGCAGCAGUAGGGAAUCUUCCGCAAUGGGCGAAAGCCUGACGGAGCAACGCCGCGUGAGUGAUGAAGGUCUUCGGAUCGUAAAACUCUGUUAUUAGGGAAGAACAUAUGUGUAAUUAACUGUGCACAUCUUGACGGUACCUAAUCAGAAAGCCACGGCUAACUACGUG